CCUACCUCUGCCUCCCAAAUGCACCACCAUCACCGAACUGUGGGGUUAUUUCUUACAAGCAAGAUGGGAGCAGCAAUAGUGUAUGGCUUCAGAGGUUAAACAGAGGAUGCAGGUAACUGCUUCACUCUUUUCGUUCUUUGUUCAUCAGGAAGCCAGUUGUCACAUCAGAAGGACGCCUAAGCCAGCUCUGGAGAAUUCACAUGGCAAGGCAACUGAGAGAAACAAGUCAGGCUUUUGGCCUGAAUAACGGAAGCACUGGCUUCUGUCUGAACUCUCAAAAUAACUCAAGCAGUUUAGCCACCUUGUCCUUGGAAGAUUUCUUUUCUCCUGGGGGUAUUUUUCUCUGAAGCUGAGUUUUCUUAACUCAUCUUUUGAUGAGUAUCAUUAACUGCUCAUUUCAGUCUCCUUUGCUGUUAAGUUCUCUCCUCUAUCCACCCUUUGGGUAAUGGGGUUUUGCUUUGCUGUGUAGUUUCCAAGGAAGUAUUACCUUCUACAGAGACUUAAGUGGUGUCAUUUGGCCAGCGAUUUACAUAUGUGUUCCUUCCCACAGAACUUACUUCUUAUUGACAUUUCUAGGUCAUCUGAGAGUUCUCAUACCUGUCAGCAGUUCUCACACCUGGACGGGGGGCUGUGGGUGGAAGCUGGGACAGCUCUCUUGGCCACAGUAUCUUGACUCUUGCAACUUCCACAUGUCAUUUGAGUUGCAUUUUGCCUAUCAGAGUCAAUCCCAAGGCCACAAAGAACCAAGGGGAAGGUACACAGUCUCUCUUUGCUUUUAUUCUUGUACAAGCGUAUGUCGUGUAUUAGAUAUAUUCUCUUCAUGGCCUUUUCCUUUUCUCUUCCCACUUCCAUGACUCCCCUUGUUUCCCUGGACAAUCUCACUUUCCUUUUAUAACUCUGUCUCCCAAUGACAGGAGUAGAUCAUCUAAUCAAUCAUCUUAUAGUAACUUAGAAGGGAAAUCACUUCAACUUUAAUUGUCGUUGGUGACAAUAUUUCUAAGAGUAGAGUAAUAUCACAGGGGAUUGCAGCAGACAUAGCUUCUGCAUAAUGAAAUGUUUUCAUAAAGUCAGGUUGCUGUUCCCCACAUCAGUAAUCCUCAUUAGUUUGUGUUUUCAAGUUCUACUAUAAGCUAAUCAUGGGUUCCUUUAGCUACACAAUGAGUGAAUGCAGUUCUAUGGUUUCUAGUUUGCUUCCUGUCCCAAGACACAUUGAUGUCAUCGUUUCAUGUAACAAGUACAAGAGAUUAGACUGGUUCUUUAUAUCAUAAGUUUAAUAUCACCCAAGGUCUAAGUUAUUUGUAUGGAUGGACAUGCAUCUUCUUGUGUGGAAGAAAUGUUAAAGCCACUGAAACAAAAAUUGAAUUGCCUGUGUCAUUGUUACCACAGAAAAAGAGGAGAAGCCGGGAUAGCCACCAUAUGUGGUGGUUACUAUUGAUUGUCAGUGCAACAGGAUCUAGAAAUAGCGAAGAAACCAGCUUUUGGACAUGUCUAUUAACUAGAUUAGGUUAUUGGAGGAGAGAUACCUACCUUAAAUGUGGGCUCCAAGAUCUCAUUAACUGGGGGGACCAGGACUGCAUGAGAAGAAGAAAGAGGGUCUAGUAGCAGCGUUCAUUUCUGUCUGCUUUCCAGCUGUGGACACACUGUGACCAGCUGCCUCAAGCUCUGGGUGUGUCUUUCCUGCCAUGGUAGACCAUAUAUCAUCCAUUUGUGAACCAAAAUCAACCCUUGCUUUGGAAAUCUCUUUUGCAGGGUACUUUGUUGUAGCCACAGGACAAGGGAUUAAUUCAGCAUAAAGUUCUGCCUUGGAAAUUAUGGUAGGGCUUGUAAGAACCUGACAUUGGACAGAUCCUGAAGCUACCCGUCUCAGGCCUACCUGUAGACAGAGCCUUGGAACAGCUCCUGUGCUGGGGCCAUACAGGAGCCCUUAGCUUUGGACAUCAGUAUUGGCCAGCAUGGGACUUUUCAGGUGAAGCCAGAACCCUUGUCCUCUUCAAUGGGGUUCACAUCAAGGGAUGAAAUAAGAGGCAGUGGGGACUUCUUUUUCUUGUGACACCGCUCUGCCUGUGGGGAACUCUCCUGCUGUCUCCUGUUUUCUCACUGUUCCACACAGGUGACGGGAGGUAUCACAUUAAUUCAUCAUCGAGAGGUACAGUCUGGCCCACGAUCUCUGCCCACCGUGCACGGUUCCUGCUGUGUUUGCCAAGGAUGAGUUGGGGUACAGUAUUGAGGUGGGUAUAGGAAGGGAGGAAGGUGGUAGGAAGGGGAAAAGCUACUGGAAGGAGAGGCCUGGGUAGAUCCCUCUGAGUGAGAGCCAUGCUCACCCCCAUGUGGCUUUUAGUGCUUGUAAGAGGAGAGGAGUGAAGGAUGCUCUGUGGGAGACAGCAUCACACUCUAUCCACUGUCUCCAGUAAUCUUACAUUUGGAAAUCUGAUUUUGUCUAUUGGGGAGCCUAGAAGAGAUGUGCAAAAAUGUUGGGGCCUCUGUGUUGCAUGGGUCCUACGGGCAGGCCAGGGAUGGAGAGCCAGUUCUGCCUCUUCCUGCCCAGGGCCAUGUUCUGUCUUCCACUGAGUGCCUUUCUGGGUGGGCUUAGUGGGUCUAUCAGCUUCAGUCCAGACUAAAAGUUGGCAAGACCCAUACUUCUUUCUCUGGCUUUCUCUGUGUUAGUGAUGGGUGCCUUGGAUGAAAACGUGUGAUGUGGACACCUUGUCCGGGAAAAUGAAAUCGUUAAUUUUACUUUCUUUCUAAGAGAUUCCGCAUCACGUGGUUGGCAGCUACAGCCAGCCCAUAUCAAUCAAUAAGUAAACACACCGUGUGAACCCCACAUCUAAAUGGAUGCGCUCUCCUUUGCUCUGAAGAUGUGGGGUAAUUGCAGGAUUCUCAGAAUGCAAGGGAAGGAAGUGGGGGUUACUCACAGCUCAUGGGGGAAUGGCAGAGCAGAAGAUAAAGUGGGAAGUUAAAGUGCACUAUCACAACGGAAAGAGCUCGGUCCACACCCGCGCCGUAGGUAGAGUUAACGUGCGUCAUCUUCCUAAUGACCGUCCACACUAUUGAUUAACUCCCCAUUGUUCAUCAGUUAGUUAACUGUUGCCUUUUGCAGCUUCUGCCUCUGGUGCUUAAAGGUGAAAUAGGCUCUUUGUUGUCCUUCUAGAAGAACUAUUUGCACAUUUUGCUUUGGCAAAGAACAGUUCAUGUUUUUAGAGCCUUCAUGAUUUUUUUUAAUCUAUAUGGAAUAUGUAAGGAAGGAAAACUGAUUAAGCUUCCAGACAGCAGAUAAAUUCUAAUAAUCAACAAACUUUGCUCGUCUUGCUCUCAUCUGAUGACUGCAUUUAAUAUAAACUAUUCUGUGAGAAAGGUUGCUGUAUAAGGGGUACGUCUUCCCGCUGUGUUAAUUGCCUCAGAGCCAUGAGCACCCCUGACAUGGAUUGCUCAGCUUCAUAGACACUCUAAU
rnacentral:sRNA from 1 species